UACAGAGGUCUCAAGCGUUUGUUCGGAUUCAUUGGGCGUAAAGGGUGCGUAGGUGGCGCCGUAAGUCAGGUGUGAAAUUUCGGAGCUCAACUCCGAAACUGCAUUUGAUACUGCGGUGCUUGAGGACUGGAGAGGAGACUGGAAUUCACGGUGUAGCAGUGAAAUGCGUAGAUAUCGUGAGGAAGACCAGUGGCGAAGGCGGGUCUCUGGACAGUUCCUGACACUGAGGCACGAAGGCCAGGGGAGCAAACGGG
rnacentral:rRNA from 1 species